CACUAUCAUCAUCGUCAUCACCCAUUUCAUCUCUUCCAUCAUUUCCUAUGUCACUUUCGCUUGCUGUUUCCCAUUCUGAAUCAUCACUGUCUUGGCCAUAAACAUCAACAGCAUCUCCCUCACAGUGAACCCCCCCAUGUUUGAUAGCUGCCUCUCUAAAUAACCAGGCUGCACGCAUCUGCUUCUUGACUAGGCGCUCAGCAUAGUCAGGAACUUUAUUCUGCCUCGAACAUAGAUCGGGAUCAUUUGAUUGAGAGCAUUCAUUAAUGAACAGAAUGGCAUCUAACAAGCUCUCUUUAGCUAAUCCCAGCAUGUCAUAAGCCUGAGCUCUUCUCCAAAGGCUUUUUGCAUGACGACUAAGAGGAUUGUGAAGACAAAGUGCACUUGUAGCAUCACUUAUAGCAGCCAAGGGUUGUUGUAAC
rnacentral:misc_RNA from 1 species